rnacentral:rRNA from 1 species
AGUGGACGCUGGCGGUAGGCCUAACACAUGCAAGUCGAACGGCAGCACAGUAAGAGCUUGCUCUUACGGGUGGCGAGUGGCGGACGGGUGAGGAAUACAUCGGAAUCUACUUUUUCGUGGGGGAUAACGUAGGGAAACUUACGCUAAUACCGCAUACGACCUACGGGUGAAAGCAGGGGAUCUUCGGACCUUGCGCGAUUGAAUGAGCCGAUGUCGGAUUAGCUAGUUGGCGGGGUAAAGGCCCACCAAGGCGACGAUCCGUAGCUGGUCUGAGAGGAUGAUCAGCCACACUGGAACUGAGACACGGUCCAGACUCCUACGGGAGGCAGCAGUGGGGAAUAUUGGACAAUGGGCGCAAGCCUGAUCCAGCCAUACCGCGUGGGUGAAGUAGGCCUUCGGGUUGUAAAGCCCUUUUGUUGGGAAAGAAAAGCAGCAGGUUAAUACCCCGCUGUUCUGACGGUACCCAAAGAAUAAGCACCGGCUAACUUCGUG